rnacentral:misc_RNA from 1 species
GAGAAAGUUCAAGCUUGAUUUUCUCAUUUUUCUCUGUCCGCGAUGGACACCGAAUCAGUGAUCGAGUUCUUAGGUGCUGUUCCUUUGCUUCAGAGGCUCCCUAGCUCGUCUCUCAAGAAAAUUGCCCAACUCGUUACUGUUAAAAGCUACGAGAAAGGGCAGUAUGUUGUUCGUGAGCGAGAGAUUGGGGAAGGAAUCUAUUUCAUCUGGGAAGGAGAGGCUGAAGUAUCUGGAUCAGUUCAUGCUGAGGAAGUCACUCGUCCUGAGUUUCAAUUGCAACGCUAUGAUUACUUUGGUGAUGGUGUCAUCGCUUCCAUUCAACAGGCAGAUGUUAUUGCUUUGACUAAGCUGACGUGCUUGUUGCUGCCCCAUGAACAUUGCACUUUACUUCAGCCAAAAUCAAUGUGGAGUGCUGAUAAGACUCCAGACUCAUGUUCACUUGUGGAGAGUAUAUUGCAUUUGGAGCCAAUAGAAGUGAACAUAUUCCUGGGGAUUACCUUGCCAGAUGCCCCAAAAUUUGGAAAGGUCUUUGGGGGACAGUUUGUUGGGCAGGCACUGGCUG